UAGGGAGCGAGCGUUAUCCGGAAUUACUGGGUGUAAAGGGUGCGUAGGCGGCUAUGCAAGUCAGGCGUGAAAUGUACGAGCUUAACUCGUGAACUGCGUUUGAAACUGUAUAGCUUGAGUAGAGUAGAGGCAGGCGGAAUUUCCGGUGUAGCGGUGAAAUGCGUAGAGAUCGGAAGGAACACCAGUGGCGAAGGCGGUCUGCUGGGCUCAAACUGACGCUGAGGCACGAAAGCGUGGGUAGCA
rnacentral:rRNA from 1 species